UACGUAGGGGGCUAGCGUUGUCCGGAUUUAUUGGGCGUAAAGAGCGUGUAGGCGGCCAGGUAGGUCUGCUGUGAAAGUCGGGGGCUCAACCCUCGAAUGCCGGUGGAUACUGUCGGGCUUGAGUACGGAAGAGGCGAGUGGAAUUCCUGGUGUAGCGGUGAAAUGCGCAGAUAUCAGGAGGAACACCAAUUGCGAAGGCAGCUCGCUGGGACGUUACUGACGCUGAGACGCGAAAGCGUGGGGAGCAAACAGG
rnacentral:rRNA from 1 species